CCCCUAUUUCUAUUUAGUAAUUCUAUAAUAUAAAAAAUUUUGUUAAAACUAGAAACAAGAAGAAGACCUUCUCUUUAAUGUAAGUGUUAAUCAAAAAGGACAAACCACUGAUAUUUACCUCCAUUAAACCUAAAACUCAUCCAAAACUCAUCUUUACUUAUGUUUACCCAACACAAGAACAUUCUAAAAAUUAAAAAGAACGAACUCGACAAACAUUAACCUCGCCUGCUGAACUUUAUAACAAAUCCAGCCUCCCAAUGACUCUAUUUAACGGCCACACUAUACUAAACAUGCGAAGGUAGCACAAUCACUUGUUUUUUAAAUACAAACUAUUAUGAAUUAUACUACAAGGGUUAUACUGCUUCCUUUUUCUAAUUAGUAAAAUUAUUUCCCGUGAAGAAGCGGAGAUAUAAAUAUAAGACGAGAAGACCCUAUGGAGCUUUAAACAACCCAACAAUUACUUUAAAAUUUUAUAAAUUUCAGACUACCCAUUUUUUAAACAAUAUGUCUGCAAGUUUUUGGUUGGGGUAACCAUAGAGUAUAAUAUAACCUCCAUACUGAAUGAAUUACCUUCUAAGCUAAAAAUUACUGAUUGAAGCAUCAACACACUGACAUCCAUUAACCCAACAUAUUGGAUCAACGAACCAAAUUACCCUAGGGAUAACAGCGCAAUCCACUUAGAGCCCCAUCAACAAGUGGGUUUACGACCUCAAUGUAGAUCAAGAUAACCCAGUGGCGCAGCCGCUACUAAAGGC
rnacentral:rRNA from 1 species